AGGAUCCCAAUUAAAUUCGCAUUGCUCAGUGGUUGGAUAGGAACCUUGUUAGCGGUAUCCUUGAUAUUUCCCACCCCAUGAUUCCUGAGGCGGUUCAGGGAAGCUACGUGAUCACUGCCACAACGGACCAAGGAGAGCAAAUAUCCCACAGCUUCGACAUCAAGGAAUACGUUUUGCCAAAAUAUGAGGUAAAGGUUGAACUACCCAAU